GAUCAUGGCUCAGGACGAACGCUGGCGGCGCGCCUAACACAUGCAAGUCGAACGAGAGAGAAGGAGCUUGCUCCUUCGAUCGAGUGGCGAGCGGGUGAGUAACGCGUGAGGAACCUGCCUCAAAGAGGGGGACAACAGUUGGAAACGACUGCUAAUACCGCAUAAGCCCACGGGUCGGCAUCGAUCUGAGGGAAAAGGAGCGAUCCGCUUUGAGAUGGCCUCGCGUCCGAUUAG
rnacentral:rRNA from 1 species